UACGAAGGGGGCUAGCGUUGUUCGGAAUUACUGGGCGUAAAGCGCACGUAGGCGGAUCUAUAAGUCAGGGGUGAAAUCCCGGGGCUCAACCUCGGAACUGCCUUCGAUACUGGCGAUCUCGAGUUCGGGAGAGGUGAGUGGAACUGCGAGUGUAGAGGUGAAAUUCGUAGAUAUUCGCAAGAACACCAGUGGCGAAGGCGGCUCACUGGCCCGGAACUGACGCUGAGGUGCGAAAGCGUGGGGAGCAAACAGG
rnacentral:rRNA from 1 species